UAGGGAAUCUUCCGCAAUGGACGCAAGUCUGACGGAGCAACGCCGCGUGAGUGAAGAAGGAUUUCGGUUCGUAAAACUCUGUUGUUAGAGAAGAACAGCGCAUAGAGUAACUGUUAUGCGUGUGACGGUAUCUAACCAGAAAGCCACGGCUAACUACGUGCCAGCAGCCGCGGUAAUACGUAGGUCCCGAGCGUUGUCCGGAUUUAUUGGGCGUAAAGCGAGCGCAGGCGGUUAGUAAAGUCUGAAGUGAAAGGCAGUGGCUCAACCAUUGUAGGCUUUGGAAACUGUUUAACUUGAGUGCAGAAGGGGAGGGUGGAAUUCCAUGUGUAGCGGUGAAAUGCGAAGGUAUAUGGAAGAACACAAGUGGCGAAGGCGACUCUCUGGUCUGUAACUGACGCUGAGGGUCGAAAGCGUGGGUAGCAAACAGG
rnacentral:rRNA from 1 species